GGACCAAGGAGUCUAGCAUGUGCGCGAGUCAUUGGGACAUGACUAAACCUAAAGGCGCAAUGAAAGUGAAAGUCCGCCUUGCGCGGACCUAGGGAGGAUGGGCGGUCGUUACGGCUACCGCCCCGCACUCCCGGGGCGUCUCGUUCUCAUUGCGAGAAGAGGCGCACCAAGAGCGUACACGCUGGGACCCGAAAGAUGGUGAACUAUGCCUGGUCAGGACGAAGUCAGGGGAAACCCUGAUGGAGGUCCGUAGCGAUUCUGACGUGCAAAUCGAUCGUCGGAACUGGGUAUAGGGGCGAAAGACUAAUCGAACCAUCUAGUAGCUGGUUCCCUCCGAAGUUUCCCUCAGGAUAGCUGGCGCUCGUUGCGUACGAGUUUCAUCCGGUAAAGCGAAUGAUUAGAGGCAUUGGGGUCGAAACGGCCUCAACCUAUUCUCAAACUUUAAAUGGGUGAGAUCUCCGGCUUGCUCGAACUCAUUUUUAAAAUGAAGCCGCGAGACUCGAAUCAGAGUGCCAAGUGGGCCAUUUUUGGUAAGCAGAACUGGCGCUGUGGGAUGAACCAAACGCCGAGUUAAAGCGCCUAAAUCGACGCUUAUGGGAUACCAUGAAAGGCGUUGGUAACUUAAGACAUCAGGACGGUGGCCAUGGAAGUCGGA
rnacentral:rRNA from 1 species